GAUAAACGCUGGCGGCGUGCCUAAUACAUGCAAGUCGAGCGGUAAGGCUCUGCACAGGUUAUUUGAUCGAGAUUUAUUCUUACGUUUCCUCCGGCUAGAGGAAGCAAAAGAUCGAAUAAUGUGCGUAGAGUACACGAGCGGCGGACGGCUGAGUAAAGCGUAGGAACAUACCCCAAAGUGAGGGAUAAGCACCAGAAAUGGUGUCUAAUACCGCAUAUGGUCUUCGGAUUAAAGACUUCGGCGCUUUGGGAAUGGCCUGCGUAUGAUUAGCUUGGUGGUGAGGUAAUAGCUCACCAAGGCGACGAUCAUUAGCUGGUCCGAGAGGAUGAUCAGCCAGACUGGGACUGAGACACGGCCCAGACUCC
rnacentral:rRNA from 1 species